AUGAACGCUGGCGGCGUGCCUAAUACAUGCAAGUCGAGCGAACGGACGAGAAGCUUGCUUCUCUGAUGUUAGCGGCGGACGGGUGAGUAACACGUGGAUAACCUACCUAUAAGACUGGGAUAACUUCGGGAAACCGGAGCUAAUACCGGAUGAUAUUUUGAACCGCAUGGGUCAAAAGUGAAAGACGGUCUUGCUGUCACUUAUAGAUGGAUCCGCGCUGCAUUAGCUAGUUGGUAAGGUAACGGCUUACCAAGGCAACGAUGCAUAGCCGACCUGAGAGGGUGAUCGGCCACACUGGAACUGAGACACGGUCCAGACUCCUACGGGAGGCAGCAGUAGGGAAUCUUCCGCAAUGGGCGAAAGCCUGACGGAGCAACGCCGCGUGAGUGAUGAAGGUCUUCGGAUCGUAAAACUCUGUUAUUAGGGAAGAACAUAUGUGUAAGUAACUGUGCACAUCUUGACGGUACCUAAUCAGAAAGCCACGGCUAACUACGUG
rnacentral:rRNA from 1 species